rnacentral:rRNA from 1 species
GUACACGCUGUGACUAGCAUAUCAAUAAGCGGAGGAAAAGAAACUAACAAGGAUUCCCCUAGUAACGGCGAGUGAAGCGGGAAGAGCUCAAAUUUGAAAUCUUAAAGGGUUUCCCUUUACGAAUUGUAGUUUAAAGAAGUGUUUUCUGUUGAGGUUUUGGUAAAAGUUCUUUGGAAUAGGACAUCAUAGAGGGUGAGAAUCCCGUAUUUGACCUUUACUUUCAACUUUGUGAUACACUUCCAAAGAGUCGGAUUGUUUGGGAAUGCAGUCCAAAAUGGGUGGUAAAUUUCAUCUAAAGCUAAAUAUUGGCGAGAGACCGAUAGCGAACAAGUACCGUGAGGGAAAGAUGAAAAGAACUUUGAAAAGAGAGUUAAACAGUACGUGAAAUUGUCAAAAGGGAAGCGUUUGACACCAGUGUUGUUUUUCUGAAAAUCAAUUAAAGAACUGUUUAUGCUAAGCUGUUUAGACUUUAUCAGCUAUCUGUUUAGUUUUGAGCUUUUCUUUAAUGCACUUUUCAGUUAACAAGUCAACAUCAAUUUCUUUUGCUGUAAAAAAGCUUGAGGAAGGUGGCUUGAGAUUCGUCUUAAGUGUUUAUAGCCUCUUGCCUAUGCAGUCGGAGAGAUUGAGGUCUGCAGCGUAGAUCCUUCGGGGCUAAAUGCAUUUGUGCUAAGUUAUAGCAUUUUAUAGACAACUUGUUGACUAUGAUUUGUCUUGUAGCUUACUCGCUUAUGUUAUUUUACCUACGCUUAGGAUGUUGAGUCGUAGAGCACGCAG